UACGAAGGGGGCUAGCGUUGCUCGGAAUUACUGGGCGUAAAGCGCACGUAGGCGGCUUCUUAAGUCGGUGGUGAAAUCCUGGAGCUCAACUCCAGAACUGCCUUCGAUACUGGGAGCUCGAGUCCGGGAGAGGUGAGUGGAACUGCGAGUGUAGAGGUGAAAUUCGUAGAUAUUCGCAAGAACACCAGUGGCGAAGGCGGCUCACUGGCCCGGUACUGACGCUGAGGUGCGAAAGCGU
rnacentral:rRNA from 1 species